UUUUCUUCACUAUAGUGGUGGUAGUUGAAGAUGCAGUCAGCCAUCCGCUCCUACUCAAGAUAGGCUUCAGGAUCAUUUUCUCCCUUAAAAGUUGAUAUAUGGAACUUAAGUCAUGGAGGUCUCCAUCUGCCUCUUCGCGACGGCCUCCCUGUAUGUCGCCAACUUCAUCACCAUAAGAUCUUGUUUCUUCCCGUAUUAUUUGGCAUCAGACGCGAUUGCGGUUGUCUCCCUAUUCCAGAUGAUCCAUGCGAGCAGCCAUGUUCCCCAUUUGGAAACUUAACUGAGUGUCCAGAACCCUCUCUUUUAUGGUUACUUGUAACACCCCGCUCAUUGUGUGCUUAAUUAAUUUGAAAAUUCCUAUUUUUUUGGGCCUUUAGGCUGCAUUGAACUCAUUUAAUUUACUCCGAAUGUUAUUUAUCGUAAAUCGUGAAUCUUACCGAUUU
rnacentral:lncRNA from 1 species